rnacentral:rRNA from 1 species
CAAUAAGCGGAGGAAAAGAAACUAACAAGGAUUCCCCUAGUAGCGGCGAGCGAAGCGGGAAGAGCUCAAAUUUAUAAUCUGGCACCUUCGGUGUCCGAGUUGUAAUCUCUAGAAAUGUUUUCCGCGUUGGACCGCACACAAGUCUGUUGGAAUACAGCGGCAUAGUGGUGAGACCCCCGUAUAUGGUGCGGACGCCCAGCGCUUUGUGAUACAUUUUCGAAGAGUCGAGUUGUUUGGGAAUGCAGCUCAAAUUGGGUGGUAAAUUCCAUCUAAAGCUAAAUAUUGGCGAGAGACCGAUAGCGAACAAGUACCGUGAGGGAAAGAUGAAAAGCACUUUGGAAAGAGAGUUAACAGUACGUGAAAUUGUUGGAAGGGAAACGCUUGAAGUCAGACUUGCUUGCCGAGCAAUCGGUUUGCAGGCCAGCAUCAGUUUUCCGGGAUGGAUAAUGGUAGAGAGAAGGUAGCAGUUUCGGCUGUGUUAUAGCUCUCUGCUGGAUACAUCUUGGGGGACUGAGGAACGCAGUGUGCCUUUGGCGGGGGUUUCGACCUCUUCACACUGAGGAU